rnacentral:rRNA from 1 species
GGGGGACCUUCGGGCCUCUUGCCAUCGGAUGUGCCCAGAUGGGAUUAGCUAGUAGGUGGGGUAACGGCUCACCUAGGCGACGAUCCCUAGCUGGUCUGAGAGGAUGACCAGCCACACUGGAACUGAGACACGGUCCAGACUCCUACGGGAGGCAGCAGUGGGGAAUAUUGCACAAUGGGCGCAAGCCUGAUGCAGCCAUGCCGCGUGUAUGAAGAAGGCCUUCGGGUUGUAAAGUACUUUCAGCGGGGAGGAAGGGAGUAAAGUUAAUACCUUUGCUCAUUGACGUUACCCGCAGAAGAAGCACCGGCUAACUCCGUGCCAGCAGCCGCGGUAAUACGGAGGGUGCAAGCGUUAAUCGGAAUGAGUGGGCGUAAAGCGCACGCAGGCGGUUUGUUAAGUCAGAUGUGAAAUCCCCCAGGACUACAA